rnacentral:rRNA from 1 species
GGUGUGGCGCUCUUUGGGUAGAGGCAAGUCUAUCGGCUUGUUGUAGGUUACGGCCUACCAAGGCUUUGACCGGUUGUGGUCUGAAGAGACCGAUCAGGCAACACUUGGCACCUGCAACAACGGGGCCCAGAACUUCAUUACCGGGGAGGGGCAUGCACGUUAAAGGGAAAUACUUUGCGGCAAAUGGGGCCGAAAAGGCCCUGAACGCAAGCCGACCGCCCGCGUCGGGGGAUGAAAGGUCUUCAGGAUUGUAAACCCCUUUCGGGAGGGAAGAUGGAGCGAGCAAUCGUUCGGACGGUACCUCCAGAAGCAGCCACGGCCAACUUCGUGCCAGCAGCCGCGGUAAUACGAAGGUGGCAAGCGUUGUUCGGAUUCACUGGGCGUACAGGGUGUGUAGGCGGUUUGGUAAGCCUUCUGUUAAAGCUUCGGGCCCAACCCGGAAAGCGCAGAGGGUACUGCCAGGCUAGAGGGUGGGAGAGGAGCGCGGAUAUUCCCGGUGUAGCGGUGAAAUGCGUAGAGAUCGGGAGGAAGGCCGGUGGCGAAGGCGGCGCUCUGGAACAUACCUGACGCUGAGACACGAAAGCGUGGGGAGCAAACAGGAUUAGAUACCCUGGUAGUCCACGCCCUAAACUAUGGAUACUAAGUGUCGGCGGGUUACCGCCGGUGCCGCAGCUGAACGCAUUAAGUAUCCCGCCUGGGAAGUACGGCCGCAAGGUUGAAACUCAAAGGUAAUUGACGGGGGCCCGCACAAGCGGUGGAGCAUGUGGUUUAAUUCGACGCAACGCGAAGAACCUUACCCAGGUUGGACAUGCACGUAGUAGUAAAGGUGAAAGCCUGACGAGGUAGCAAUACCAGCGUGCUCAGGUGCUGCAUGGUCUGUCGUCAGCU